rnacentral:rRNA from 1 species
CCUACGGGAGGCAGCAGUGGGGAAUAUUGCACAAUGGGGGAAACCCUGAUGCAGCCAUGCCGCGUGUGUGAAGAAGGCCUUCGGGUUGUAAAGCACUUUCAGUUGUGAGGAAAAGUUAGUAGUUAAUACCUGCUAGCCGUGACGUUAACAACAGAAGAAGCACCGGCUAACUCCGUGCCAGCAGCCGCGGUAAUACGGAGGGUGCGAGCGUUAAUCGGAAUUACUGGGCGUAAAGCGCACGCAGGCGGUUUGUUAAGCUAGAUGUGAAAGCCCCGGGCUCAACCUGGGAUGGUCAUUUAGAACUGGCAGACUAGAGUCUUGGAGAGGGGAGUGGAAUUCCAGGUGUAGCGGUGAAAUGCGUAGAUAUCUGGAGGAACAUCAGUGGCGAAGGCGACUCCCUGGCCAAAGACUGACGCUCAUGUGCGAAAGUGUGGGUAGCGAACAGGAUUAGAUACCCUGGUAGUCCACACCGUAAACGCUGUCUACUAGUUGUGUGUGCCUUUAAGGCGUGCGUAGCGAAGCUAACGCGCUAAGUAGACCGCCUGGGGAGUACGGCCGCAAGGUUAAAACUCAAAGGAAUUGACGG